GGAGUAUUAAAAAUCUAUAACAAUAUUUUAUAAGCAACUAAGAACUAUAGACAAAUACGUAUAUUCAAUUCAUAAUUUUAAUUAAUUGAUGGGAUACUCGUGUGUAGCAAAUUUUGCACCUAUACAUAGCUUUGAUUGGUAUAGUUGAUGACAAAAUAGUAGCAAUAUGCUAAAGAAGAUGUAUACUAAAAAAGUUGUUAUGCUCUCGUAAAUCUAUUUAAUAAAAUGAUUUGUAGAGCAGUACAUGAUUCAUAUACAAAAUUAUUAUUACAAAAUUAUUAUAUGAUAUAUAAUUUAUUUAUUUCUAAAUAAUUAGAUAUAUUUACAUUUACAAUAAUAAAUCAU
rnacentral:lncRNA from 1 species